rnacentral:rRNA from 1 species
AUUGAACGCUGGCGGUAGGCCUAACACAUGCAAGUCGAACGGCAGCACAGAGGAGCUUGCUCCUUGGGUGGCGAGUGGCGGACGGGUGAGGAAUACAUCGGAAUCUACUCUGUCGUGGGGGAUAACGUAGGGAAACUUACGCUAAUACCGCAUACGACCUACGGGUGAAAGCAGGGGAUCUUCGGACCUUGCGCGAUUGAAUGAGCCGAUGUCGGAUUAGCUAGUUGGCGGGGUAAAGGCCCACCAAGGCGACGAUCCGUAGCUGGUCUGAGAGGAUGAUCAGCCACACUGGAACUGAGAAACGGGCCAGACUCCUACGGGAGGCAGCAGUGGGGAAUAUUGGACAAUGGGCGCAAGCCUGAUCCAGCCAUACCGCGUGGGUGAAGAAGGCCUUCGGGUUGUAAAGCCCUUUUGUUGGGAAAGAAAUCCAUCUGGUUAAUACCCGGGUGGGAUGACGGUACCCAAAGAAUAAGCACCGGCUAACUUCGUGCCAGCCGCCGCGGUAA